rnacentral:lncRNA from 1 species
AUACUUUGAUUAAAACUAAUUAUAACUUUGAGUAAGAUACUUAAAUAGGCUCUAAAGAUUCGACUCUGGUUAAUUCAUUAGCCAGAUUAUUUUGAGAACGUCUAAAAACGGUCAUCACACCCUGAUUUCUUAUGAUGUAAUAAAUGACCAUAUUGCCCCGGCCAGGGACCUUUAAAAAAAUAAAAAAAUAAGAUAUUUAAUAAAUGACUAGUUUAGUAAACGCUCACGAAGACUGAAAACAAGUUUCAACAUGUAAAUUAUAAAAUAUCUAUCUUAAAACCAAG